UUAUACUAUACUGAUCCUUCUGGCACUUUCUGGCAAUGCAAUGCAAAAGCCAUUGGUUCAGGUUCAGAAGGUGCUGACAGCUCUCUUCAGGAGCAAUUCAACAAGGACCUUACCCUCAAGGAGGCUGAAACCAUAGCGCUGUCAAUUCUGAAGCAAGUGAUGGAAGAAAAGGUGACUCCCAAUAAUGUUGAUAUUGCGAGGGUAUCACCAACUUAUCACCUCUACUCCCCUUCUGAGGUGGAAGAUGUUAUCAGCCGCCUAUAAGAAGAAAAUGCUCUUGUUAUGCUUGUACCCAAUUCUCUGUUAUGGGCAAUGUUUGCUUUCAAUUGUUCUAGAAUUUGUGAAUUGUUUUGCCCCUUCAAGCAUGAUAUAUUGUUAGCUUUGAGUUCCAUUUUCCUUCAAGGACAAAGCUCAAACCCUUUAUGUUGCUUGACAAAAUUCUGUAUAAUGGGAUAAGAUUAUUUGGCUACGGGCUUAAGA
rnacentral:misc_RNA from 1 species